rnacentral:rRNA from 1 species
UACGUAGGGGGCGAGCGUUGUCCGGAAUUAUUGGGCGUAAAGAGCUCGUAGGCGGUUUGUCGCGUCGGGAGUGAAAACCUUGGGCUUAACUCAGGGCUUGCUUUCGAUACGGGCAGACUAGAGGUAUGCAGGGGAGAACGGAAUUCCUGGUGUAGCGGUGAAAUGCGCAGAUAUCAGGAGGAACACCGGUGGCGAAGGCGGUUCUCUGGGCAUGAUCUGACGCUGAGGAGCGAAAGUGUGGGGAGCGAACAGG